GAGAGUUUUUAUCAACUCCCAAACCCCUGUGAACAUACCUUACGUUGCCUCGGCGGGUGGUACUCACCCACCGCCCGCCGGCGGCCUACCGAAACUCUGUUUAAGUUACCGUAUCUCUGAAUCAUAACCAAAAUAAGUUA
rnacentral:misc_RNA from 1 species